CAGCACUGAGUUGGCUUCACACUGGAGACAUUUGGACACAGUGAGACAGUUGGACACAGUGAGACAGUUUCUCUGUUGCAUCAGGACAUUUAACACCGCGGGGACUGUCUCACACACUGUCAGAUGAUGGCGUGACCUCGGAGCUGCAGAGUCGUAGCCGCCUCAGCUGUCAGCGAUGGACGACCUGUGGUGUGUGGCUGUGGGGGUGUUCCAGGUGUGGAUGUUUGUGGUGGUGUUCCUCAUCAUGCUGCCCGCCAUGUUCGGCCUCUCUCUGGGGGUCACCGGGGUCUACAUCCAGAUCCUGGUCCAGAUCCUGGAGUGGGCCACGGUGCGGAUCCAGAGGGGACGCCAGGAGCAGCCCAGUGUGCCCGUGCCUCUGCCCAACGGUG